rnacentral:rRNA from 1 species
CAGCCUCCACGGUAAUACGAAGGGGGCUAGCGUUGUUCGGAAUUACUGGGCGUAAAGCGCACGUAGGCGGACAUUUAAGUCAGGGGUGAAAUCCCGGGGCUCAACCCCGGAACUGCCUUUGAUACUGGGUGUCUAGAGUAUGGAAGAGGUGAGUGGAAUUCCGAGUGUAGAGGUGAAAUUCGUAGAUAUUCGGAGGAACACCAGUGGCGAAGGCGGCUCACUGGUCCAUUACUGACGCUGAGGUGCGAAAGCGUGGGGAGCAAACAGGAUUAGAUACCCCCGUAGUCCCUGUCUCUUAUAC